rnacentral:rRNA from 1 species
AUUGAACGCUGGCGGCAGGCCUAACACAUGCAAGUCGAACGAGUGGCGGACGGGUGAGUAAUGUCUGGGAAACUGCCUGAUGGAGGGGGAUAACUACUGGAAACGGUAGCUAAUACCGCAUACCAUCAGAUGUGCCCAGAUGGGAUUAGCUAGUAGGUGGGGUAACGGCUCACCAAGGCGACGAUCCCUAGCUGGGCUGAGAGGAUGACCAGCCACACGGGAACUGAGACACGGUCCAGACUCCUACGGGAGGCAGCAGUGGGGAAGAUUGCACAAGGGGCGCAAGCCGGAUGCAGCCAUGCCGCGUGUAUGAAGAAGGCCUUCGGGUUGUAAAGUACUUUCAGCGGGGAGGCGUUACCCGCAGAAGAAGCACCGGCUAACUCCGUGCCAGCCGCCGCGGUAAUAC